GCCUGAGUAGUAUUAGUUAUGUUCUUGAAACUUAAAAAAUUUGGCGGUAUUUUAGUCUAUUCAGAGGAACCUGUUUUGUAAUCGAUAAUCCACGAUGGACCUUACUUAUCCUUGUUAAUCAGUUUAUAUACCGUCGUUAUCAGAAUAUUUUAAAAGAAAAAUAAUUUUCAAUAAUUUUUAUUAAAAUUUAUAUCAGAUCAAGGUGUAGCUUAUGGAUAAGAAAUAAUGGGUUACAAUAAAUGUAUUUAUAUGGAUAUAAAAAUGAAAAUUUUAUUGAAAGUGGAUUUGGAAGUAAAAUUGUAUAGAUAAACAAUUUGACUAUAGCUCUAAAAUAUGCACACAUCGCCCGUCACUCUUAUUACUAAGAUAAGAUAAGUCGUAACAUAGUAGAAGUACCGGAAGGUGUUUCUAGAAUGACAAUUUAAAGCUUAUUUAGUAAAGUAUUUCAUUUACAUUGAAAGGAUUUUUGUGCAAAUCAUUAUAAAUUGAUCGAUAUUUAUUUAUUAAUAUUUUUGGUUAUUUGUUUAAAAUAUUAAAAAUAAUUAUUAGCAUUAAUGUUUUAGUACUGUAUAUCGAAAAAAUAAUUUAAAUAAUAGUAUAUUAGUAAUGUAAGUGAAUAUUGAAAUAUCUGAAAA
rnacentral:rRNA from 1 species